CGAGCACGCGCGUGUGGCAUAUCAAUAAGCGGAGGAAAAGAAACUAACAAGGAUUCCCUUAGUAACGGCGAGUGAAGCGGGAAGAGCUCAAAUUUGAAAUCUUCAAGGUUCUACCUUGACGAAUUGUAGUUUAUAGAAGUGUUUUCUGUUAGUAGAGUGGCAAAAGUCCUUUGGAAUAGGACAUCAUAGAGGGUGAGAAUCCCGUAUUUGGUCAUUCUUUCUAGCUUUGUGAUACACUUUCAACGAGUCGGAUUGUUUGGGAAUGCAGUCCAAAAUGGGUGGUAAAUUUCAUCUAAAGCUAAAUAUUGGCGAGAGACCGAUAGCGAACAAGUACCGUGAGGGAAAGAUGAAAAGAACUUUGAAAAGAGAGUUAAACAGUACGUGUAAUUGUCAAAAGGGAAGCGUUUGACACCAGUGUUGUUUUUCCGAAAAUCAAUUACGAAUGUUUUAGUUUUUGAGGAGUUAUGACUUCAUCGGCUUGCUCCUUUCUUUAUGAAACCUUCUUAAUGCACUUUUCGGUUAACAAGUCAACAUCAAUUUCUUUUGUUGUAAAAGGGUAUGAGGAAGGUGGCUUUCUUUUCGGAGAAAGUGUUUAUAGCCUUGUACCUCUGCAAUCGGAGAGAUUGAGGUCUGCAGCGUAGAUCCUUCGGGGUUAGAUACGUUUGUGCUAAGUUAUAGCUUUUCAUAGACAACUUGUUGACUAUGUUAGUCUUGUAGCUUACUCGCUGAUGCUAUUUUACCUACGCUUAGGAUGUUGAGUAGCGACAUACGCAC
rnacentral:rRNA from 1 species